GGGCCCGUAGCUCAAUUGGUAGAGCGCCGCUUUUGCAAAGCGGAGGCAAGCGGUUCGAAACCGCUCGGGUCCA
rnacentral:tRNA from 1 species